rnacentral:lncRNA from 1 species
AACUUUUAAAUUAUUCCAGCCGCGGCCCAAUACUUUCCAGCUAUUGCAGUUUGGCCCGAAAGUGUUGAGUUAAGCCAUAAUUGUUCCGUUCUUGGACGUUUGACCGUAUUUCGAGUCAACCCGGUUAAUUCCAGGUGGGUUGGUUUAAGGGGGUAAUAUCUUCCAUUUUAAAUGUUUAUGUUUUACUUGUGUUAUUUAUGCUUCUUUGAAUUACAUGAAUAAUAAUUGGAUUUUAAA